AGUGAACGCUAGCGGUAGGCCUAACACAUGCAAGUCGAACGGCAGCACAGUAAGAGCUUGCUCUUACGGGUGGCGAGUGGCGGACGGGUGGGGAAUACAUCGGAAUCUACUUUUUCGUGGGGGAUAACGUAGGGAAACUUACGCUAAUACCGCAUACGACCUACGGGUGAAAGCAGGGGAUCUUCGGACCUUGCGCGAUUGGAUGAGCCGAUGUCGGAUUAGCUAGUUGGCGGGGUAAAGGCCCACCAAGGCGACGAUCCGUAGCUGGUCUGAGAGGAUGAUCAGCCACACUGGAACUGAGACACGGUCCAGACUCCUACGGGAGGCAGCAGUGGGGAAUAUUGGACAAUGGGCGCAAGCCUGCUCCAGCAAUACCGCGUGGGUGAAGAAGGCCUUCGGGUUGUAAAGCCCUUUUGUUGGGAAAGAAAAGCAGCAGGUUAAUACCCCGCUGUUCUGACGGUACCCAAAGAAUAAGCACCGGCUAACUUCGUG
rnacentral:rRNA from 1 species